AACUCAUUGAGAAAAGUUCCUUAAGGGUGAAGAAUAUCUAAAGUCAAGGUUUGUUCCAUGUGACCACAUUGGAAGAGGAACAGGUGAAAGGCUUCAAUGACCUAAGUCCUUAUUUUGGGUUUUAACUUGUGCUUCAGGGCAAGAGGAAAAGUUUCUGUCUGCUUGUUUUCUGAAGCACACACAGCUCUCACAGGAAGCCUUGGGCUGUUAGAAGACAAGAAGCAGAGAACGGAAAGUGGGGGUAAGUGAAUUCACACGGAAGGAUCACAGACACACAAGGGAAGAGAUGCUGACCCCAGAAAACAUGAGCGACAGGACAAUGCUAAGAAUGGCGUCUGAACACCCAGAAGGACGUGCAACAGUGGCUAGGAGGAUGCAGAGAAGUGUUCACAUGGUGACAGAAGAGGGCGUUAAAGCAGGUGAUGCUGGGGUGGGGUUCUGGGACACUGCUCAGGCUCUAGGCAAGUGGCAGACGAGUCUCCUUUGCUACAAGUUCACGAGGCCUUGGGAGCUCCAGAUUCUUUGUUUUAUGAAUAUCUUUAUGGGUUUGCUUUCGUUUAUCGUAGUUCUUGGGAUCAAACCUGGAGCCUCGUGUAUGACAGGCAAGCUCUCCACCACUGAACUACAUCCCUAUUCUCGUUUUAAAGAACUUAUAUAGUAGAUACUGUCCACUGUAUUGAUGCUUGGCUUGUGUCUGUGGUAAGGUACAUCUCCAUGUUGUAAUCAGUUCAUUCCUCCUGUCUUUUAAGACACCCCCCCCACCCCGUUUGACAUGUAUUUACAAAUACAUGGUACCAAGUCCCCUCUCUUAAAUCAGUUCCUUGAAGUAUGAAUAAGGAAACAAACACUCAGACAAUUACAUGAACUCUCCUCAUGUUGAUGGUCUGUGAUUGUUCUGCAAAAUAGCAUGUGCCCUUUCCUUGGCUCUGGGGGAGUUUCUGAGCAUUAACGACAUCUCUGAGAAGUGUUUAAUUUCCUUGGAAAUGAGCUCAACAAUGUGUUUUUUCUCUCAUGAUGAUGUAACAAGCCACUUACACUGUGCUACUGAUUUAGAAUAAUUGAAAUUUUGGUG